GCCAAGACAAUGGGAAAGAGGCCUCGAA
rnacentral:piRNA from 1 species